rnacentral:lncRNA from 1 species
AAACUAUUUAGGGGGUUGUUACAGUAGUCCAGGCAAGAGAUGGUGAGGCCAGGUGGCUGGAAUGGAAGAAGUUGGUUUGGAGUGACAGAUAUGGGAGCAAUCCAAACGACAAUGAAACCCCAGGAGCUGGUGAGAGUGCCAGGAGAACGGGCCCACAAAAGGAAGAGAGAGAAUGGAGGGCACAGCUCUUGAGGCCUCCAGAACUCCACGUCAGCAAGACAGCAAGGGCCCCCCGGAGGAAACGGGCUUCGAGAUGACAGGUCACACGGUGCAGCGAGGAGCGCGUGAGAGAGAGGGCCAGGGGAUGGCCGCGCGCUUCUGGAGAGGCCAGACAGAAGAGUGGGAAAAGUGCGCGUAAACUUGGCAAAUCCAAGCCCGUUAAUGACCCUCUAGGGCGUGGUUUGAGCAGAAAUAAUAGUGAUGCUCCAAAUAAAAGACUACAGUUGAUCUGCAAGUGUCACCAUCAUCACCACUGUCAUUGCAUUCUCUAGCUUUAACCUCCUUCUUCAAUCUGAGUUAAAGACUAAGACGUGGAAUAUAAGAAAGCAUGAAGAAGCUUCCAGAAUGGGAUAACUUCUGUGAAAAGCAGGAUCCUGUUGGAAUGGUCACCAACACAUCUGAAGGUAGAGAUUCAGAGGACAGCCCUCCAAAUAAAGAGUCUUGUGCUUGUUUAAUGAAACAUCAAAGAAGCACCUGGAGAGACCACAGGAUCAUGAAAACGCACGUGAGCAGUGUUCCUGCUGGCUCAGAAGGUGUGUGAUGGCACCAGACAGACUCUGACUCCCUGCCACCAGAAACAGAGUAAAUUCAUCUCUACCCUGCGCACGGAGAAGCUGUUCCUCCUCGUAGGAGUUCACAGUGAGCCUCCGAGCAGUGGGGAUAGCACCCCGUGGCAAUCAGUGUCGACGGGUCUGGAGCAGGCCUUACACCGCUGAGAUGGCUUCUCUUCCUUUCGUCUCUAAACUGCUUCUCCCCCCAGAUUUCUUUUUGCUCUUAUCCUUUGGCAAAAAGUGUGCAUCUACCCUUCGUAGCAAACUGAGCAGAUUCCACUGUAUGUUCUUCAGGGGCAUAAUUCCAGGACUCUUUUCAGAAUUAGGACUCAGAGCUCCACAUUCUCCAGAAGCGAUAAAGGCCAUGUCACUUAAUCCCUUUGCUGGGUCUUGACCAGCCUUGGGAGGGCAGCUUCAAAGACCGAAGUGGUGCAGAGCCCUGGCCCGACUGGAUCCCGUCCCCUUAUGUUUCCAUGCUUCCCCGCUUUUGAUGAUGCUACUGCGCUGGGAGCAGGAACUGAAGGCGGGUGCUCUGACACUCAGAGACACAUCUCUCAACACAAGAAGUAGGAGAAAGGGUUCAAUCGUCUUAGCAGGAACUGGAGAUGUGUGCACAAGAUGCACUGCUCAGCGUGUCUGGGAGCCCCAGAGCUGCCGCAAGAGGAUAGGCAGCCCACGGAUGGAGAAAUGGUAUGUGCCAGGUCCCACGGACAGCUUUACAGGAACUCUCUCAUUUAAUCCUCACAGGACCCCAUGAGUAAGGUACUACGGCUAUUAUCUCACUUUACAGAAAGGCAAACUGAAUGCAGGGAUAUUAAGUAACUUGACGAAGAUUAUACAGGGUUGGGAUUCACACUCCAGCAUGCACUGGGACCAUACUCCUAACGACUGUGCAAUCUGGCCUCCUUAGCAACUGGGAAAGUGGGCACAGCAAUGUGUUGGAGAUGAGCUUGGGUGACAGUCACCUCUGCCCUGUCCUAGGCCCAACACACAUCAGGGUUGCUGCCAGUGCACUUCCUGCUUCAGCACAGCGGGUGGAAAUGUGGGUGUUCCAGCGUGUUCGUGGGGAAGAAGAGAGAGGGUUGGUGAGGGAUGGAACACGGACUGGUGAGGUGUGCCUGUAGCACACAGACAGGCGUCCACGCACACCCACUCACCUGUCUGCGGGAAGUCCCAGGAAAGUCGGCAGGAUGGUCCUGCCUCUCCUUACACACCUCUUUCCUGUUUACCGAGUUCACGCUGCCCGAUUCCUUGGUUAACACGCUCUUACUGUCCCCUUGCCAGACUCAUCCACCUUACCCCCUCAGUCCUGACCACCCAGUUAGAACAUAUUCCUUACUAUUAUCUGCAUAUCCAGAUUUCCACUUGUAACUUGGAGCUUCAGUUCUCCUCGUUCUUUGAAAGCCGCAGACACGGAGGCUUGCUGUUUACUUAUCGCAACCUUAUGCUCAGAAUCCUGGCUGAAAUGGAAAGGACUGAAAUUAAGACACAGUAGGAAAAAAACUUAAUGCUGAAUAAAAGUAGCACUCCUUGAAAAAAAAUUUCAUGAGCUUUAGUGUCAUUCUGGCUUCGAGAAACUUCUUCCCAUGAAACUCGUAUAUUUUCUGAGCUUAACACUUCAGUCAUUAUGAUCGCUUUACGUUUCUACCUCUUCCAACUGGGUUUUUGCAACUCGGAGAUCAAGUUUGUUGCGUAACAACAUUAACAGCUAAUAAAUUAGGCUCCUCCUUGCCAUUUUCCUGAGCAGGGCUGGCGGAAUCAAGCCCUCACGGAAUUUGAGGGGAAUUUAUCCUGAGACAUAUCCUCUACUUGGGCCGUGAGGUCAGGAUUCCACGCCAGAGCUGUGCUACUCCUAAUGAGGGGAGGGUCUGAGAUUCACCAUGGUGUGGAUCCAUGAGCUCUUCUCUGAAACCCUUGGAACCAACGUGGGUCAGAAUUUUGUAGAUUUCAGAGAACAAAUGUGUAUAUACUGUAUAUUAUACAACAUUUCCCAUUGGGGUCUGGAGCGGCACCCUCUAGUCAAACACAUUAAUAUUUCUGUAGCUAAAUAUAGGCAUAUUCACACUAAGUGGGGUAAAUGUAAAAUAUAAAUAGUCUGCCAUCAGUUCAGGCUAGCUUUGGCUAUCAAAUGACUUUACAUCAGACCAGUCUUUUUUGCCAAAUGAGUUACCAAAACGCUUUUGGUUUUCAUCUUUUUGGAUUGGAGAUUUUAAGGAGAAGAGACCGUGGGCCUGUAAAUGCAAGUAGCUGCCAUUUAUGGAGCAUUCGUCUGCUCUUUGAAUUCCCGCGAGAACCAGCGCCCACGCACGGUGCAACAGAAGUGAGAGGGACUCUUCUGCAAAGCUGUGCUUUUGAAAUCGCUCUUUCAGCAGUCAUUCCAUAUUGCCGUGCUGGGUCUGGAGAGGCAGAACCAUAUUAGAAUUCCACGAAAAACCUUUCGGAUAGAAUUCAGGAGUAGCGGUGGAGUUUGGUUGGACAAAUGACUUUCCUGUCCUCUGCGUCCUCAUCCAUGCCUAGAGGGGAAUGAUGGCCUAAUGCUGGCAGAGGAUUCCAUAGUUUCUUAACUCAUCCUGCUAACACAGUCUAGCACCUUCCAAGGAGUACAGGAUGUGGAGAUAUUUAACAACUAUUGUACUUGUUCUCAGAUUUGGGGGCCUCAGCUGAAACUCUGAAUCAACAGGAAAAGUCACAUCUUAACAUAGUAUUAUGUAUAUGUCAUAGGCUCUUACUAGUAGUUCUUCGGUGUAUUAUGAUUUAAAUCAUGUUCCUUGACAAAAUAAAUUUGGAAAACACUGCUCUAUUGUUUUGCUUUUAAGUAUGAUGUAAGCUAUUGGUUUGGGAUAACUUUUUAAUCUUGUUAAGGGAGUAUUCUAUAUGCAAUUUAUUUAACUUUUUAUCAGAAAUGGAUAUUAAAUUUUGUUAAAUGCCUUUGACAUUUGUCAAGAUGAACAUAAAGUUUGUCUCUUUUGACCCAUUGAUGUGAUCAAUGAUAUUUUUAGAUUUCCCAAUAUUGAAU